CCUACGGGAGGCAGCAGUGAGGAAUAUUGGUCAAUGGACGCAAGUCUGAACCAGCCAUGCCGCGUGCAGGAAGACGGCUCUAUGGGUUGUAAACUGCUUUUGUCCGAGGGCAAACGCAGAUACGCGUAUCUGUCUGAAAGUAUCGUAAGAAUAAGGAUCGGCUAACUCCGUGCCAGCAGCCGCGGUAAUACGGAGGAUUCGAGCGUUAUCCGGAUUUAUUGGGUUUAAAGGGUGCGCAGGCGGUCGUGAAAGUUAGAGGUAAAAUUCCGGGGCUCAACCCCGGAUUGCCGUUGGAACUGCUUGGCUAGAGAGUAGGUGAAGUAGGCGGAAUGUGUGGUGUAGCGGUGAAAUGCUUAGAGAUCAUACAGAACUCCGAUUGCGAAGGCAGCUUACCAGGGCACUUCUGACGCUGAGGCACGAAAGCGUGGGGAGCGAACAGGAUUAGAUACCCCAGUAGUC
rnacentral:rRNA from 1 species